rnacentral:rRNA from 1 species
UCUGGUUGAUCCUGCCAGUAGUUAUAUGCUUGUCUCAACGAUUAAGCCAUGCAUGUCUAAGUACACACGAAUUAAAAGUGAAACCGCAAAAGGCUCAUUAUAUCAGUUAUGGUUCCUUAGAUCGUUAACAGUUACUUGGAUAACUGUGGUAAUUCUAGAGCUAAUACAUGCAAUUAAAACAUGAACCUUAUGGGACAUGUGCUUUUAUUAGGCUAAAACCAAGCGAUCGCAAGAUCGUUAUAUUGGUUGAACUCUAGAUAACAUGCAGAUCGUAUGGUCUUGUACCGACGACAGAUCUUUCAAAUGUCUGCCCUAUCAACUUUUGAUGGUAGUAUCUAGGACUACCAUGGUUGCAACGGGUAACGGGGAAUCAGGGUUCGAUUCCGGAAAGGGAGCCUGAAAAACGGCUACCACAUCUAAGGAAGGCAGCAGGCGCGUAAAUUACCCACUCCCAGCUCGGGGAGGUAGUGACCAAAAAUAACAAUACAGGACUCAUAUCCGAGGCCCUGUAAUUGGAAUGAGUACACUUUAAAUCCUUUAACAAGGACCAAUUGGAGGGCAAGUCUGGUGCAGCAGCCGCGGUAAUUCCAGCUACAAUAGCGUAUAUUAAAGUGUUGCGGUUAAAACGUUCGUAGUUGAACUUGUGCUUCAUACGGGUAGUACAACUUACAAUUGUGGUUAGUACUAUACCUUUAUGUAUGUAAGCGUAUUACCGGUGGAGUUCUUAUAUGUGAUUAAAUACUUGUAUUUUUUCAUAUGUUCCUCCUAUUUAAAAACCUGCAUUAGUGCUCUUAAACGAGUGUUAUUGUGGGCCGGUACUAUUACUUUGAACAAAUUAGAGUGCUUAAAGCAGGCUUCAAAUGCCUGAAUAUUCUGUGCAUGGGAUAAUGAAAUAAGACCUCUGUUCUGCUUUCAUUGGUUUUCAGAUCAAGAGGUAAUGAUUAAUAGAAGCAGUUUGGGGGCAUUAGUAUUACGACGCGAGAGGUGAAAUUCUUGGACCGUCGUAAGACUAACUUAAGCGAAAGCAUUUGCCAAAGAUGUUUUCAUUAAUCAAUGAACGAAAGUUAGAGGUUCGAAGGCGAUCAGAUACCGCCCUAGUUCUAACCAUAAACGAUGCCAGCUAGCAAUUGGGUGUAGC